rnacentral:rRNA from 1 species
CGGACGGGUGAGUAACGCGUGGAUAACCUGCCGUAUACCGGGGAUAACACUUAGAAAUAGGUGCUAAUACCGCAUAAGCGCACAGCUUCGCAUGAAGCAGUGUGAAAAACUCCGGUGGUAUACGAUGGAUCCGCGUCUGAUUAGCUGGUUGGCGGGGUAACAGCCCACCAAGGCGACGAUCAGUAGCCGGCCUGAGAGGGUGAACGGCCACAUUGGGACUGAGACACGGCCCAAACUCCUACGGAAGGCAGCAG